rnacentral:rRNA from 1 species
ANCUANUNAGUGAGGUAAUGGCUCACCUAGGCGACGAUCCCUAGCUGGUCUGAGAGGAUGACCAGCCACACUGGAACUGAGACACGGUCCAGACUCCUACGGGAGGCAGCAGUGGGGAAUAUUGCACAAUGGGCGCAAGCCUGAUGCAGCCAUGCCGCGUGUGUGAAGAAGGCCUUCGGGUUGUAAAGCACUUUCAGCGAGGAGGAAGGGUUCNGUGUUAAUAGCACUGUUCAUUGACGUUACUCGCAGAAGAAGCACCGGCUAACUCCGUGCCAGCAGCCGCGGUAAUACGGAGGGUGCAAGCGUUAAUCGGAAUUACUGGGCGUAAAGCGCACGCAGGCGGUUUGUUAAGUCAGAUGUGAAAUCCCCGAGCUUAACUUGGGAACUGCAUUUGAAACUGGCAAGCUAGAGUCUUGUAGAGGGGGGUAGAAUUCCAGGUGUAGCGGUGAAAUGCGUANAGAUCUGGAGGAAUACCGGUGGCGAAGGCGGCCCCCUGGACAAAGACUGACGCUCAGGUGCGAAAAGCGUGGGNAGCAAACAGGAUUANAUACCCUGGUA